CUGAAAUCUCUUGAUUCAGUGUCUAGCCAUUCCACCUCUUGCUGAAUACCUUUGCCCAGAGGAUAGUUGACAAAAGCGGCGAAACUUCAAACUUGAGUGAUGCUGCUUGUUUGCAGUUUGCCAGGCAGCAGUUAUUGUACAUGCAGGAUAAGGGAAGAAGAGAAAACCUGGGAUUGAGUUGAAGUUUCUCCUUGCUGAUCUGACAUCUUCAUGCUGCUCAUCCUUGCUUCACAAACACUUGCUGCCCUGAAAUACUGAGGUAAGCUGCUUACCUAUAUUUCUUUCUACAUAUGUAUGAGAAAUAUUUACUUGGGUCUCCAAAGUAAUUUUCUAAUAUUUAUAUUUUAAUAAGGC
rnacentral:lncRNA from 1 species